UGCAGAGAACUUUCCAGAGAUGGAUUGGUGCCUUCGGGAACGUCUGACACAGGUGCUGCAUGGCUGUCGUCAGCUCGUGCCGUGAGAUGUUGGGUUAAGUCCCGUAACGAGCGCAACCCUUGUCCUUAGUUACCAGCACGUUAUGGUGGGCACUCUAAGGAGACUGCCGGUGACAAACCGGAGGAAGGUGGGGAUGACGUCAAGUCAUCAUGGCCCUUACGGCCUGGGCUACACACGUGCUACAAUGGUCGGUACAAAGGGUUGCCAAGCCGCGAGGUGGAGCUAAUCCCAUAAAACCGAUCAUAGUCCGGAUCGCAGUCUGCAACUCGACUGCGUGAAGUCGGAAUCGCUAGUAAUCGUGAAUCAGAAUGUCACGGUGAAUACGUUCCCGGGCCUU
rnacentral:rRNA from 1 species